rnacentral:rRNA from 1 species
UACGUAGGGGGCAAGCGUUGUCCGGAAUCAUUGGGCGUAAAGAGCGUGUAGGCGGCCCGGUAAGUCCGCUGUGAAAGUCCAGGGCUCAACCCUGGGAUGCCGGUGGAUACUGUCGGGCUCGAGUCCGGAAGAGGAGUGUGGAAUUCCUGGUGUAGCGGUGAAAUGCGUAGAUAUCAGGAGGAACACCUGCGGUGUAGACGGCUUUCUGGACCAUUGCUGACGCUGAGACACGAAAGCGUGGGUAGCAAACAGG